GAUGAACGCUAGCUACAGGCUUAACACAUGCAAGUCGAGGGGCAGCGGGAUUGAAGCUUGCUUCAAUUGCCGGCGACCGGCGCACGGGUGAGUAACGCGUAUCCAACCUUCCGUACACUCAGGGAUAGCCUUUCGAAAGAAAGAUUAAUACCUGAUGGUAUGAUGAGAUUGCAUGAUAUCAUCAUUAAAGAUUUAUCGGUGUACGAUGGGGAUGCGUUCCAUUAGGUAGUAGGCGGGGUAACGGCCCACCUAGCCAACGAUGGAUAGGGGUUCGGAGAGGAAGGUCCCCCACAUUGGAACUGGGACACGGUCCAAACUCCUACGGGAGGCAGCAGUGAGGAAUAUUGGUCAAGGGACGAGAGUCUGAACCAGCCAAGUAGCGUGAAGGAUGAAGGUCCUACGGAUUGUAAACUUCUUUUAUAAGGGAAUAAACCCUCCCACGUGUGGGAGCUUGUAUGUACCUUAUGAAUAAGCAUCGGCUAACUCCGUG
rnacentral:rRNA from 1 species